GAUGAACGCUGGCGGCGUGCCUAAUACAUGAAAGUCGAGCGAACAGACGAGGAGCUUGCUCCUCUGACGUUAGCGGCGGACGGGUGAGUAACACGUGGAUAACCUACCUAUAAGACUGGGAUAACUUCGGGAAACCGGAGCUAAUACCGGAUAAUAUAUUGAACCGCAUGGUUCAAUAGUGAAAGACGGUUUUGCUGUCACUUAUAGAUGGAUCCGCGCCGCAUUACCUAGUUGGUAAGGUAACGGCAUACCAAGGCGACGAUGCGUAGCCGACCCGAGAGGGUGAUCGGCCACACGGGAACAGAGACACGGUCCAGACUCCUGAGGGAGGAAGCAGUAGGGAAUCUUCCGCGAUGGGCGAAAGCCUGACGGAGCAACGUCGCGUGAGUGAUGAAGGUCUUAGGAUCGUAAAACUCUGUUAUUAGGGAAGACCAAAUGUGUAAGUAACUAUGCACGUCUUGACGGUACCUAAUCAGAAAGCCACGGCUAACUACGUG
rnacentral:rRNA from 1 species